UACGUAGGGGGCAAGCGUUGUCCGGAAUCAUUGGGCGUAAAGAGCGUGUAGGCGGCCAGAUAAGUCCGCUGUGAAAUCUCGAGGCUCAACUUCGAGCUGUCGGUGGAAACUGUCUGGCUAGAGUCCGGAAGAGGAGAAUGGAAUUCCUGGUGUAGCGGUGAAAUGCGCAGAUAUCAGGAGGAACACCGGUGGCGAAGGCGGCCCCCUGGACCGGUACUGACGCUGAGGCGCGAAAGCGUGGGUAGCAAACGGG
rnacentral:rRNA from 1 species